GAUGAACGCUGGCGGCGUGCUUAACACAUGCAAGUCGAACGAAGCAUUUGCGACAGAUUUCUUCGGAUUGAAGUUGCUUAUGACUGAGUGGCGGACGGGUGAGUAACGCGUGGGUAACCUGCCUCAUACAGGGGGAUAGCAGCUGGAAACGGCUGGGAAUACCGCAGAAGCGCACAGUACCACAUGGUACAGUGUGAAAAACUCCGGUGGUAUGAGAUGGACCCGCGUCUGAUUAGCUAGUUGGUGAGGUAACGGCCCACCAAGGCGACGAUCAGUAGCCGACCUGAGAGGGUGACCGGCCACAUUGGGACUGAGACACGGCCCAGACUCCUACGGGAGGCAGCAGUGGGGAAUAUUGCACAAUGGAGGAAACUCUGAUGCAGCGACGCCGCGUGAGUGAAGAAGUAGUUCGCUAUGUAAAGCUCUAUCAGCAGGGAAGAUAGUGACGGUACCUGACUAAGAAGCUCCGGCUAAAUACGUGCCAGCAGCCGCAGUAA
rnacentral:rRNA from 1 species